UCCAGGGUAGCCUAGUGGACAUUUCACCUGCCCGGUAAGCAGAAGGUUGUGGGUUCGAUUCCCGCCCCUGGAC